rnacentral:rRNA from 1 species
UUAGUAGAGAAGCGUGUGAGCCAGCUGCCAAGAAAAGCCGCUGUUGUUUCAUAAGUACCCGUACCGUAAACCGACACAGGUGGAUGAGGAGAGAAUCCUAAGGCCGGCGGGAGAAGUGUUGUUAAGGAACUCGGCAAAAUGACUCCGUAACUUCGGGAGAAGGAGUGCCACAGAGAUGUGGCCGCAGAGAAAUGGCCCAAGCAACUGUUUAGCAAAAACACAGGUCUAUGCAAAACCGAAAGGUGAGGUAUAUGGGCUGACGCCUGCCCGGUGCUGGAAGGUUAAGAGGAGAGGUUAGAGCAAUCGAAGCUUUGAAUUUAAGCCCCAGUAAACGGCGGCCGUAACAAUAACGGUCCUAAGGUAGCGAAAUUCCUUGUCGGGUAUUUCCGACCCGCACGAAAGGCGUAAUGAUUUGGGCACUGUCUCAACAACACACCCGGUGAAAUUGAAAUACCAGUGAAGAUGCUGGUUACCUGCGCCAGGACGGAAAGACCCCAUGGAGCUUUACUCCAGUUUGAUACUGGGAUUCGGUACUGUCUGUACAGGAUAGGUGGGAGGCUAGGAAAUGGUGACGCCAGUUGCCAUGGAGCCAACCUUGGGAUACCACCCUUACAGUACAGGGUUUCUAACCUGCAGCCGUAACCCGGCUGGGGGACAAUGUCUGACGGGGAGUUUGACUGGGGCGGUCGCCUCCGAAAGAGUAUCGGAGGCGCUCAAAGGUUCCCUCAGAACGGUUGGAAACCGUUCGAAGAGUGCAAAGGCAGAAGGGAGCUUGACUGCGACACCGACGGGUGGAGCAGAUACGAAAGUAGGACUUAGUGAUCCGGUGGUAUAAAGUGGGAUUGCCAUCGCUCAACGGAUAAAAGCUACCCUGGGAUAACAGGCUUAUCGCUCCCAAGAGUUCACAUCGACGGAGUGGUUUGGCACCUCGAUGUCGGCUCAUCGCAUCCUGGAGCUGUAGCAGGUUCCAAGGGUUGGGCUGUUCGCCCAUUAAAGCGGUACGCGAGCUGGGUUCAGAACGUCGUGAGACAGUUCGGUCCCUAUCCGGCGUGGGCGUAGGAUAUUUGAGAGGAGCUGUCCUUAGUACGAGAGGACCGGGAUGGACAAGCCUCUGGUGUAUCUGUUGUUUACCAAAGGCAUGGCAGAGUAGCCAAGUUUGGCAGGGAUAAACGCUGAAGGCAUCUAAGCGUGAAGCCCCCCUCAAGAUAAGAUAUCCCAUCUUCGGAGUAAGACCCCUUGAAGACUACAAGGUUGAUAGGCUUCAGGUGUAAGUGUGGUAACGCACUCAGCUGAGAAGUACUAAUAGGUCGAGGACUUAUC